UACGUAGGUGGCAAGCGUUGUCCGGAAUUAUUGGGCGUAAAGCGCGCGCAGGUGGUUUCUUAAGUCUGAUGUGAAAUCCCUCAGCUCAACUGGGGAACUGCGUCUGAGACUGGCGAGCUUGAGUGCAGGAGAGGAACGCGGAAUUCCAGGUGUAGCGGUGAAAUGCGUAGAUAUCUGGAGGAACACCGAUGGCGAAGGCAGGUCUCUGGGCAUUAACUGACGCUGAGGAGCGAAAGCAUGGGGAGCGAACAGG
rnacentral:rRNA from 1 species